CUCCAAUGAUGAUCCAGCCAUGCUAAUACUGAUGCAUUAGGUAAAUGUUUGCCUGGAUGCACAUGAGUUCAACUCAUCUUUCUCACGCUGAUGGUAUCAGUGUGUGCUGAGGAGA